UUCACAGGGAAAAUUCGGUAGAUCACGGGCAUUAUAUCCACGAUGCCAUUCCUGAAGCCACGAUCUCUCACCUCCACGAUGCCAGCCAUUUCUGGAGGCCGAGACACAAGACCUUCUCUGGCUUUAUAAAAGCCAAAGAAAGGCCUCAGCAAAAGGGGGAGGCAGAACACGAAGGAGGAAAAAAAACAAAGCAAAAGGCACAAAUUCAUGGACGAGCGGGAGAAACAGGGGGUGAGAACCAGAGAAAAAAAUGGAGAGGCAGAGCACGAACCGAAACAAACACAGGGGGGACGAGCUGGAGGACAUACCAAGAGAGAGUCAAGAGAACAGAGAGAACAGAACACAACAAGGGGAGCAGAAACAGAACAGUAGAAAAAGAAAGAGCAAGGAUCAGGAAGGAAGCUUGAAGACAGGAGCUUCGCCCAGUGUCUGCCAAUUCGUGCAAAGUCUCUGCAAAACCAGGGUCUUUGCGAUCUCUCUUUCACUUCUAUAUAUGCUGCCAAAGACAUCAAGGAUUUUUGCCUGAAUCAGUGUCCGAAGCUCUUUCCACAACCCAGGUAAUCAAAGCAUUGGCGGAAAAAAUACGGGGAAAAUAUCUACAAGGUCUUGCUAAGGAAAAACUAGGAAACAGGAAACUGAACCAUCUAAUUUCGACAACGAUCCUAUGUAAGAAUCAAUGGAUAUGAUCAUAUCCAAGCUCAGAAAGAAUAGGUAGGUUUGGAUAUGUGUGUGUAUUGAUGUAUGUAUGUAUAGCCAAAACAACGAUAAACACGUUGAGUUGCACACGACAAGGCAAGAAGAACAAAAGGUAAAUAAAAUUAUAAGUAGAAGAUGAGCAAGCAAAAUAUUUUUAAAA